UCUGCUUUAAACCACGUGACUUACCACGUGGUUUAUCUUUUGCCUUAGAAAUAUUCGCUUAUAUUGGAAUAGAAAUACAAUAUAACUUGUUAUCCGCUGCAGAUGUAUAAAACGUGUGAGAAAUACGGCCUCACGUGGAUUGAGGAUCCUAGUAACCGUAACGCAAACUGCAGCAAACGCAAUGAACUUCGCAUGAGAAUAACACGGCAUUCUUCCUACUUAUCUUUAAGGAAGCGCGCGUUAUUAUUUAUAAAAGAAGCAAAUGCAUUUCGAUUUUAUGUGGAUUGUGAAGUGGACAAAUUUUUUAUGAAGCACGCCUUAAUUAACGAUCAGUUUGGAUUUGUAGUACUUAACGGACUGGACGAAUUGAAAAACUUGCCUUUAUUGGUUUCUUCUCGUCUCUUGGGUCGAUGCGUCCGCUUUGUAGGCGGGAGUUCCCCUUUGUAUCUUCUACGACUUGCAGCUAAAAAACUUUUUAGUGAGAAACUGAAAGUUGUGGAGUUUUCAUCCGCCCGUAUGUCAUUAGUAUUUUUACAAAAACUUAAAACUGGAGAGCAAAGUAAAAAGAACCCCGACCAGAAAGUUCUUGUUUUUACCAAAACAAAUUCAAACGGUAAAGAAACGGAAGUUAUUUUGCAAAGUCCUCUACAAGAAAAGUUUAGUGCGCAUGCGAAAAAAAUAUUUGUAAAGACUUUUUAUUUUAAGGGAAGUGAAAAUGUGAAACUUUAUUGGGAUAGUCGAUUCGUAGUUCACUUUUCUCGUAUUAUAAAUAAUAAUAGCAAUAAUUAUAGCUUUGAACUUUAUGGUUUUAAACCGUUUAGCCAUCCUCCUUCGAAGUUAUGGAUUUUUUAUUUGGAUUGUUAUUUAUCGUAUCC